rnacentral:rRNA from 1 species
UACGUAGGGACCAAGCGUUGUUCGGAUUUACUGGGCGUAAAGGGCGCGUAGGCGGUGUUGCAAGUCACUUGUGAAAUCUCCGAGCUUAACUCGGAACGGUCAAUUGAUACUGCAAUGCUAGAGUGCAGAAAGGGCAACCGGAAUUCUUGGUGUAGCGGUGAAAUGCGUAGAUAUCAAGAGGAACACCUGAGGCGAAGGCGGGUUGCUAGGCUGACACUGACGCUGAGGCGCGAAAGCUAGGGUAGCAAACGGG